rnacentral:rRNA from 1 species
GGUUAAGCGACUAAGCGUACACGGUGGAUGCCCUGGCAGUCAGAGGCGAUGAAGGACGUGCUAAUCUGCGAUAAGCGUCGGUAAGGUGAUAUGAACCGUUAUAACCGGCGAUUUCCGAAUGGGGAAACCCAGUGUGUUUCGACACACUAUCAUUAACUGAAUCCAUAGGUUAAUGAGGCGAACCGGGGGAACUGAAACAUCUAAGUACCCCGAGGAAAAGAAAUCAACCGAGAUUCCCCCAGUAGCGGCGAGCGAACGGGGAGGAGCCCAGAGCCUGAAUCAGUGUGUGUGUUAGUGGAAGCGUCUGGAAAGGCGCGCGAUACAGGGUGACAGCCCCGUACACAAAAAUGCACAUGCUGUGAGCUCGAUGAGUAGGGCGGGACACGUGGUAUCCUGUCUGAAUAUGGGGGGACCAUCCUCCAAGGCUAAAUACUCCUGACUGACCGAUAGUGAACCAGUACCGUGAGGGAAAGGCGAAAAGAACCCCGGCGAGGGGAGUGAAAAAGAACCUGAAACCGUGUACGUACAAGCAGUGGGAGCCUCUUUAUGGGGUGACUGCGUACCUUUUGUAUAAUGGGUCAGCGACUUAUAUUCUGUAGCAAGGUUAACCGAAUAGGGGAGCCGAAGGGAAACCGAGUCUUAACUGGGCGUUAAGUUGCAGGGUAUAGACCCGAAACCCGGUGAUCUAGCCAUGGGCAGGUUGAAGGUUGGGUAACACUAACUGGAGGACCGAACCGACUAAUGUUGAAAAAUUAGCGGAUGACUUGUGGCUGGGGGUGAAAGGCCAAUCAAACCGGGAGAUAGCUGGUUCUCCCCGAAAGCUAUUUAGGUAGCGCCUCGUGAAUUCAUCUCCGGGGGUAGAGCACUGUUUCGGCAAGGGGGUCAUCCCGACUUACCAACCCGAUGCAAACUGCGAAUACCGGAGAAUGUUAUCACGGGAGACACACGGCGGGUGCUAACGUCCGUCGUGAAGAGGGAAACAACCCAGACCGCCAGCUAAGGUCCCAAAGUCAUGGUUAAGUGGGAAACGAUGUGGGAAGGCCCAGACAGCCAGGAUGUUGGCUUAGAAGCAGCCAUCAUUUAAAGAAAGCGUAAUAGCUCACUGGUCGAGUCGGCCUGCGCGGAAGAUGUAACGGGGCUAAACCAUGCACCGAAGCUGCGGCAGCGACGCUUAUGCGUUGUUGGGUAGGGGAGCGUUCUGUAAGCCUGCGAAGGUGUGCUGUGAGGCAUGCUGGAGGUAUCAGAAGUGCGAAUGCUGACAUAAGUAACGAUAAAGCGGGUGAAAAGCCCGCUCGCCGGAAGACCAAGGGUUCCUGUCCAACGUUAAUCGGGGCAGGGUGAGUCGACCCCUAAGGCGAGGCCGAAAGGCGUAGUCGAUGGGAAACAGGUUAAUAUUCCUGUACUUGGUGUUACUGCGAAGGGGGGACGGAGAAGGCUAUGUUGGCCGGGCGACGGUUGUCCCGGUUUAAGCGUGUAGGCUGGUUUUCCAGGCAAAUCCGGAAAAUCAAGGCUGAGGCGUGAUGACGAGGCACUACGGUGCUGAAGCAACAAAUGCCCUGCUUCCAGGAAAAGCCUCUAAGCAUCAGGUAACAUCAAAUCGUACCCCAAACCGACACAGGUGGUCAGGUAGAGAAUACCAAGGCGCUUGAGAGAACUCGGGUGAAGGAACUAGGCAAAAUGGUGCCGUAACUUCGGGAGAAGGCACGCUGAUAUGUAGGUGAAGCGACUUGCUCGUGGAGCUGAAAUCAGUCGAAGAUACCAGCUGGCUGCAACUGUUUAUUAAAAACACAGCACUGUGCAAACACGAAAGUGGACGUAUACGGUGUGACGCCUGCCCGGUGCCGGAAGGUUAAUUGAUGGGGUUAGCGGUAACGCGAAGCUCUUGAUCGAAGCCCCGGUAAACGGCGGCCGUAACUAUAACGGUCCUAAGGUAGCGAAAUUCCUUGUCGGGUAAGUUCCGACCUGCACGAAUGGCGUAAUGAUGGCCAGGCUGUCUCCACCCGAGACUCAGUGAAAUUGAACUCGCUGUGAAGAUGCAGUGUACCCGCGGCAAGACGGAAAGACCCCGUGAACCUUUACUAUAGCUUGACACUGAACAUUGAGCCUUGAUGUGUAGGAUAGGUGGGAGGCUUUGAAGUGUGGACGCCAGUCUGCAUGGAGCCGGCCUUGAAAUACCACCCUUUAAUGUUUGAUGUUCUAACGUUGGCCCCUGAUCGGGGUUGCGGACAGUGUCUGGUGGGUAGUUUGACUGGGGCGGUCUCCUCCUAAAGAGUAACGGAGGAGCACGAAGGUUGGCUAAUCCUGGUCGGACAUCAGGAGGUUAGUGCAAUGGCAUAAGCCAGCUUGACUGCGAGCGUGACGGCGCGAGCAGGUGCGAAAGCAGGUCAUAGUGAUCCGGUGGUUCUGAAUGGAAGGGCCAUCGCUCAACGGAUAAAAGGUACUCCGGGGAUAACAGGCUGAUACCGCCCAAGAGUUCAUAUCGACGGCGGUGUUUGGCACCUCGAUGUCGGCUCAUCACAUCCUGGGGCUGAAGUAGGUCCCAAGGGUAUGGCUGUUCGCCAUUUAAAGUGGUACGCGAGCUGGGUUUAGAACGUCGUGAGACAGUUCGGUCCCUAUCUGCCGUGGGCGCUGGAGAACUGAGGGGGGCUGCUCCUAGUACGAGAGGACCGGAGUGGACGCAUCACUGGUGUUCGGGUUGUCAUGCCAAUGGCACUGCCCGGUAGCUAAAUGCGGAAGAGAUAAGUGCUGAAAGCAUCUAAGCACGAAACUUGCCCCGAGAUGAGUUCUCCCUGAGACUUUAAGUCUCCUGAAGGAACGUUGAAGACGACGACGUUGAUAGGCCGGGUGUGUAAGCGCAGCGAUGCGUUGAGCUAACCGGUACUAAUGAACCGUGAGGCUUAACCUU